rnacentral:rRNA from 1 species
CGCCUGGGGAGUACGGCCGCAAGGUUAAAACUCAAAUGAAUUGACGGGGGCCCGCACAAGCGGUGGAGCAUGUGGUUUAAUUCGACGCAACGCGAAGAACCUUACCUGGCCUUGACAUCCAGAGAACUUUCCAGAGAUGGAUUGGUGCCUUCGGGAACUCUGAGACAGGUGCUGCAUGGCCGUCGUCAGCUCGUGUCGUGAGAUGUUGGGUUAAGUCCCGUAACGAGCGCAACCCCUAUCCCUGGUUGCUAGCAGGUAAUGCUGAGAACUCCAGGGAGACUGCCGGUGACAAACCGGAGGAAGGUGGGGAUGACGUCAGGUCAUCAUGGCCCUUACGGCCAGGGCUACACACGUGCUACAAUGGCGCGUACAGAGGGCUGCCAACUCGCGAGAGUGAGCCAAUCCCUUAAAACGCGUCGUAGUCCGGAUCGGAGUCUGCAACUCGACUCCGUGAAGUCGGAAUCGCUAGUAAUUGCGAAUCAGAAUGUCGCGGUGAAUACGUUCCCGGGCCUUGUACACACCGCCCGUCACACCAUGGGAGCGGAUUGCACCAGAAGUAGUUAGUCUAACCUUCGGGAGGACGAUUACCACGGUGUGGUUCAUGACUGGGGUGAAGUCGUAACAAGGUAACCGUA